GUAGGUGGUGUUUCUAGGCAAAUCCGGAGACACAACACUGAGACACGAGACGAACACACUACGGUGUGGAAGCCAUUGAUGCCCUGCUUCCAGGAAAAGCCUCUAAGCUUCAGAUUACAAGUCAUCGUACCCCAAACCGACACAGGUGGUCGGGUAGAGAAUACCAAGGCGCUUGAGAGAACUCGGGUGAAGGAACUAGGCAAAAUAGAACCGUAACUUCGGGAGAAGGUUCGCUCUUGACAGUGAAGUCCCUUGCGGAUGGAGCAGUUGGGAGUCGCAGUGACCAGAUGGCUGGGACUGUUUAUCAAAAACACAGCACUCUGCAAACACGAAAGUGGACGUAUAGGGUGUGACACCUGCCCGGUGCCGGAAGGUUAAUUGAUGGGGUUAGCGCAAGCGAAGCUCUUGAUCGAAGCCCCGGUAAACGGCGGCCGUAACUAUAACGGUCCUAAGGUAGCGAAAUUCCUUGUCGGGUAAGUUCCGACCUGCACGAAUGGUGUAACCAUGGCCAUGCUGUCUCCACCCGAGACUCAGUGAAAUCGAAUUCGCCGUGAAGAUGCGGUGUACCCGCGGCUAGACGGAAAGACCCCGUGAACCUUUACUACAGCUUGGCACUGAACAUUGAACCUACAUGUGUAGGAUAGGUGGGAGGCUUUGAAGGCGUGACGCCAGUUGCGCUGGAGCCGUCCUUGAAAUACCACCCUUGUAUGUUUGAUGUUCUAACGCAGGGCCCUGAAUCGGGCUCGCGGACAGUGCCUGGUGGGUAGUUUGACUGGGGCGGUCUCCUCCCAAAGAGUAACGGAGGAGCACGAAGGUUGGCUAAUCCUGGUCGGACAUCAGGAGGUUAGUGCAAUGGCAUAAGCCAGCUUAACUGCGAGACGGACAGGUCGAGCAGGUACGAAAGUAGGUCAUAGUGAUCCGGUGGUUCUGAAUGGAAGGGCCAUCGCUCAACGGAUAAAAGGUACUCCGGGGAUAACAGGCUGAUACCGCCCAAGAGUUCAUAUCGACGGCGGUGUUUGGCACCUCGAUGUCGGCUCAUCACAUCCUGGGGCUGAAGUCGGUCCCAAGGGUAUGGCUGUUCGCCAUUUAAAGUGGUACGCGAGCUGGGUUCAGAACGUCGUGAGACAGUUCGGUCCCUAUCUGCCGUGGGCGUUGGAUGAUUGAAGGGAGUUGCUCCUAGUACGAGAGGACCGGAGUGAACGAACCUCUGGUGUUCGGGUUGUCACGCCAGUGGCACUGCCCGGUAGCUAAGUUCGGAAUCGAUAACCGCUGAAAGCAUCUAAGCGGGAAGCGAGCCCUGAGAUGAGUCAUCCCUGACCCCUUGAGGGUCCUAAAGGGCCGUUGGAGACCACAACGUUGAUAGGCGGGGUGUGUAAGUGCAGCGAUGCAUUGAGCUAACCCGUACUAAUUACCCGUGAGGCUUAACC
rnacentral:rRNA from 1 species